UGUAAAUAAUCCCAAUUUGAACAGUUUUGAUGACAAUAUUUUUUCAGUCAAUCCGAAAGGCGGCUUGCAACUUGCAGUUCUAACUGUUUUUUUAGUGGUACUACUGCCUGCUUUUCAGUUGUGGUCAAUAGGUUGGAAGAGAUAAUACAGAUAAUAAUGACGCAUUCAUAAAAAAGGCAUCUUCUGGCAGCCUCCAAAGAGUUCACAAUAAGAAAACGAAAGACAGAAAGCAAUACUAUGGAAAGCGAGAGUGCGAUGAUAAGGAAUUUGAUUCCUCAACCCAAACUAGCGUGAACACAAUGUCUGCUAGGGUAAGUGUGGUGACCUUAAAUUCAGGACAAAAACAAGGUAACUUAAACUGUGUUUGCGUCAAAAUCAAGACUGAUGAAUGGUAUAAUAUGGCUGCUGAUUUGUAUUCUGUGUGUGUCAAAUCAGAACAGGUUAUAUGGGAAGAGAGACAACCAGAUUGCAACAAACAAGAUACUAGUAGCUUCAAUUUAGUACAUGAACAAACAGGAUGUUUACAUAUGGAUCAAGAUUAUAUUAAACAAGAUGGCUUUACCUCCGAAUGUGUGAAAUCAGAACAGACAGAAAAUGAAAUUAUGCAACAAGCUUGCCUAAAUUCUGUAUGUGUGAACCAAAACACGAUUUCAAAUUCAAAUGCGUACAUGUAUACAGAAACAGAUGAGCUCCAUUCUGUAUGUGGGACAACAAAACAGUUUCUAAAUCCAAAUACAGACCAGAGUUAUAUAAUAACACAUAACCUCAAUUCUGUACGUGGUAUAGCUAAACAGUAUAUAAAUACUGAUACAGACAAUGAAAAUAUAGCAACAAAUGAUCAUAAUUCUGUAUGUGGUAUAGCUAAACAGCAUAUCAACACAGAUAUGGACAAUGAAAAUACAACAGCCAAUGAUGUAAAUUCUGUACGUGGUAUAGCUAAACAGUAUAUUAACACAGAUAUGGACAAUGAAAAUAUAACAACAAAUGAUCACAAUUCUGUAUGUGGUAUAGCUAAACAGUAUGUCGAUACAGAUUCGGGCAAUAGAACAGAAAAUGAUCCAAAUGCUUUAUCUGAUCAUUCAAACACAAUCGAGGAUCAAGCUCAACUGGCCUACCUAAAUUCUCUAUUUCUGACAAGGGAAGAGAUUGAGCUUUCAAAUGUUGACCAAUAUUGUGCCAGACCAAAUAUGGGUGGAGAGACAAUACAAAAGGACCUUUACUCAAACCUUGAUGUUCAUAGAUAUUCAAACUCCGAAAAAGAUGACUCAGAUGAUGACUUUGUAGAGAUACUCUUUGAAAGAGAUAAAAGGAAAAGCGAGAGCUGUCAUUCAACUCUUGUGGCUCCAAAGAGAUUUCGAGGUCAAGAUUCUUCCAGUGGCGUAGUCCAGCGAAGGAGUCUUUCAGCAAGAGAAAAUGCAGAGAAUGCUGUGACUACUAGUGUCUCCGUUUCUCUGAAACCAGCUAAGAUGAAAAUGAACGAAAAGGGUGACAGGGUGAAGAUGGUUAAGAGAAUGAAGAAAGCCAAGACCCAUGAAAAAGAAAAGACCAAGUACAGUCUUCUAGAGAGGAACCUAGCCAGGUGUAUGAACCUGGACCCUCGAGAUAAUGACCAUUUUCUCUACUGUGGAGAAUGCAACAAGGAGUUUGAAGGGAACUGCCCUGUCCAUGGGCCCUAUAACUACAUACAGGACGAAAAGGUGCCAGAAGGGGAUCCACUUAAAGCUGACCAUACCGUGCCAGAUUGCUUUGAAAUCAAAACGUCCAAAAUAUCUGGAGCUGGUCUUGGAAUAUUUUCCAAGAAGGGACUGGAAUCCAGGGCCAUGUUUGGACCGUAUGGGGGCGAUAUCAUUGCUGCAAACCAGAAAUCAGGAUAUUGCUGGCAGAUCUAUACGGAAGGCAAAGCGAGCCACUUUGUGGAUGCCCAGAACAAGGCCACCUCUAACUGGAUGAGAUAUGUGAACUGUGCAAUGAAGGAGGCAGAUCAGAACCUUGUGGCGUUUCAGUACAAAGGAGGCAUCUAUUACAGUACAUUGAAGCCAGUGUCACCAGGAGAGGAACUGCUGGUAUGGUAUGGAGAUGAAUUCGCCAGAGAACUUGGCCUCAUCAGAGACGAUAAUUUAUGCAAUUAUUCCUGUAAAAACAGUGGUCGCUUGAAGAUACACACGAGGAAACAUACAGGAGAAAGACAGUACAAGUGUGAGGUGUGUGGCUAUUUAUGUAAACAUAGUGGUACCUUGAAGACACACAUGAGGAUACAUACAGGAGAAAGACCGUAUAAGUGUGAAGAGUGUGAUUAUGCUUGUAAACAUACUGGUGCGUUGAAGAGACACAUGAUGAUACAUAGAGGAGAAACACAGUACAAGUGUGGGGAGUGUGGCUAUGAAUGUAAACGUAGUGAUGCAUUGAAGAGACACAUGAUGAUACAUACAGGAGAGAGAGAGUACAAGUGCGAGAUGUGUGGCUAUUUAUGUAAACAUAGUGGUAACUUGAAGACACAUAUGAGGAUACAUACAGGAGAAAGACCAUACAAGUGUGAGGUGUGUGAUUAUGCUUGUAAACAAUGUGGUGAUUUGACGAGGCACAUGACGAUACAUACAGGAGAGAAACAGUAUAGGUGUGAGGUUUGUUGUUAUGCAUGUAGCGGGAGUGAUGCCUUAAAGAGACACAUGAGGAAACAUACAGGAGAGAGAGAGUACAAUUGUGAGAUGUGUGGCUAUGAAUGUAACAGAAGUGAUAACUUGAAGACACACAUGAGGAUACAUACAGGAGAAAGACCGUACACGUGUGGGGAGUGUGGCUAUGAAUGUAAGCGUAGUGAUGCGUUGAAAAGACACAUGAGGAUACAUACAGGAGAGAGAGAGUACAAGUGUGAGAUGUGUGGCUAUUUAUGUAAACAGAGUGGUAACUUGAAGAGACACAUGAGGAUACAUACAGGAGAAAGACCGUAUAAAUGUAAGGAGUGUGAUUAUGCUUGUAAACAAAGUGGUGAUUUGAAGAAACACAUGAGGAUACAUACAGGAGAAACACCGUUCAAGUGUGGGGAGUGUGGCUAUGAAUGUAAACAUAGUGGUAACUUGAAGAGACACAUGAGGAUACAUACAGGAGAAAGACAGUAUAAGUGUGAGUAGUGUGAUUUUGCAUGUAAACAAAGUCGCGAUUUGAAGAGACACAUAAUGAUACAUACAGGAGAGAGAGAGUACAAGUGUGAGAGGUGUGGCUAUUUAUGCAAACAGAGUGGUAACUUGAAGACACACAUGAGGAUACAUAAAGGCGAAAUACUGUAUAAAUGUAAGGGGUGUGAUUAUGCUUGUUAACAAAGUGAUGCGUUGAAGAGACACAUCAGGAUCCAUACAAGAAAGAAACAGUACAGGUGUGAGGUGUGUGGCUAUGAAUGUAACAGAAGUGAUCACUUGAAGACACACAUGAGGAUACAUACAUGAGAAAGACCGUACACAUGUGAGGAGUGUGGUUAUGGAUGUAAACGUACUGGUUAGUUGAAGAGACACAUGAGAAUACAUACAAGAAAGAAACAGUACAGGUGUGAGGUGUGUGGUUAUGCAUGUAACAGGAGUGAAACCUUAAAGAUACACAUGAUGAUACAUAAAGGAGAGAGACAGUACAAGUGUAAGGUGUUUGGCUAUGAAUUUAACUUGAGUGGUCACUUGAAGGCACACAUGAGGAUACACAUUGGAGAAAAACAGUACAAGUGUGGGGAGUGUGGAUAUGAAUGUAAACGUAGUGGUGAUUUGAAGAAACACAUGAGGAUACAUAAAAGAGAGAGAGACCGUACAGGUGUAAAAUGUUUGAUUUUGCAUGUAAAAACAGUGGUCACUUGAAGAAACACAUGAUGAUACAAUGUAUUACAUGCAGGAGAGAGACCAAACACGUUUGGGGUUUGUGAUUUUGCGGGUAAAAAAAGUAGUUCGUUGAAGACACAGAUGAUGUUACAUACAGACGAGAGACCUUACACAAUUUAGGUGUGUGAUUAUGCAUGUAUCCAGAAUGAUUGCAUGAUGAGACACACGAAGAAGCAUGCUUGGUUAUACUUGUAAAGAUAGUGUUGAUUUAAAGAAACGCAUGAGGAUACAUACGGGAGGAAGACUUUAAAAAGUGUUAGGUGUGUGGUUAUCCAUGUAUCCAUGGAUGGGAGGAAGACUUGAAAAAGUGUUAGGUGUGUGGUUAUCCAUGUAUCCAUAGGAGGAGGACUUUACAGAGUGUUAGGUGUGUGGUUAUCCAUGUAUCCAUAGGAGGAAGACUUUACAGAGUGUUAGGUGUGUGGUUAUCCAUGUAUCCAUAGGAGGAAGACUUUACAGAGUGUUAGGUGUGUGGUUAUCCAUGUAUCCAUAGGAGGAAGACUUUACAGAGUGUUAGGUGUGUGGUUAUCCAUGUAUCCAUAGGAGGAAGACUUUACAGAGUGUUAGGUGUGUGGUUAUCGAUGUAUCCAUAGGAGGAAGACUUUACAGAGUGUUAGGUGUGUUGUUAUCCAUGUAUCCAUAGGAGGAGGACUUUACAGAGUGUUAGGUGUGUGGUUAUCCAUGUAUCCAUAGGAGGAGGACUGUACAGAGUGUUAGGUGUGUGGUUAUCCAUGUAUCCAUAGGAGGAGGACUUUACAGAGUGUUAGGUGUGUGGUUAUCCAUGUAUCCAUAGGAGGAGGACUUUACAGAGUGUUAGGUUUGUGGUUAUCCAUGUAUCCAUAGGAGGAGGAGAGUGUUAGGUGUGUGGUUAUCCAUGUAUCCAUAGGAGGAAGACUUUACAGAGUGUUAGGUGUGUGGUUAUCCAUGUUUCCAUAGGAGGAAGACUUUACAGAGUGUUAGGUGUGUUGUUAUCCAUGUAUCCAUAGGAGGAGGACUUUACAGAGUGUUAGGUGUGUGGUUAUCCAUGAAUCCAUAGGAGGAAGACUUUACAGAGUGUUAGAUGUGUGGUUAUCCAUGUAUCCAUAGGAGGAAGACUUUACAGAGUGUUAGGUGUGUGGUUAUCCAUGUAUCCAGAAUGGUCCCUUGAAUACUUGAAGAGGCACAUCAGGAUAUAUAAGAACAUAAGAAAAGAAAGAGCUUAAACAUGAAUAUAUAAAAAAAUCUCUGAAAUCAGUUGAGAGACCCAGUGACACACGUUAUUUUGCAUGACAUUAUGACGCAAUAAAUCAUUGCUUUGUUA